GUCUCUAAUGAUGAUGUUUAGCUUAAAGCUUUCACCUUCUGAGAAAUUACCCAUGUGGAAUUCAUAUGGAGACCUGAACUGAAGAGAC